UACAGGGGGCGCGAGCGUUGCUCGGAAUCACUGGGCGUAAAGCGUACGCAGGCGGGUCGAUAAGUCCGUUGUGAAAUCCCAGGGCUCAACCCUGGAACCGCGAUGGAGACUGCCGAUCUUGAGUACGGGAGAGGGGAGCGGAAUUCCUGGUGUAGAGGUGAAAUUCGUAGAUAUCAGGAGGAACACCGGUGGCGAAAGCGGCUCCCUGGCCCGAUACUGACGCUCAUGUACGAAAGCGUGGGGAGCAAACAGG
rnacentral:rRNA from 1 species